rnacentral:rRNA from 1 species
AACGAACGCUGGCGGCAGGCCUAACACAUGCAAGUCGAACGCCCUAGCAAUAGGGAGUGGCGCACGGGUGCGUAACGCGUGGGAAUAUGCCCUUGACUGCGGAACAACGUCGGGAAACUAACGCUAAUACCGCAUAAUGUCUUCGGACCAAAGAUUUAUCGGUCAAGGAUUAGCCCGCGUCUGAUUAGCUAGUUGGUGAGGUAACGGCUCACCAAGGCGACGAUCAGUAGGGGGUCUGAGAGGAUGAUCCCCCACACUGGGACUGAGACACGGCCCAGACUCCUACGGGAGGCAGCAGUGAGGAAUAUUGGACAAUGGGCGCAAGCCUGAUCCAGCCAUGCCGCGUGAGUGACGAAGGCCUUCGGGUUGUAAAGCUCUUUCAGAUGCGAAGAUAAUGACGGUAACAUCAGAAGAAGCCCCGGCUAAAUUCGUGCCAGCCGCCGCGGUAA